GCAAGUCGAGCGAACGGACGAGAAGCUUGCUUCUCUGAUGUUAGCGGCGGACGGGUGAGUAACACGUGGAUAACCUACCUAUAAGACUGGGAUAACUUCGGGAAACCGGAGCUAAUACCGGAUGAUAUUUUGAACCGCAUGGUUCAAAAGUGAAAGACGGUCUUGCUGUCACUUAUAGAUGGAUCCGCGCUGCAUUAGCUAGUUGGUAAGGUAACGGCUUACCAAGGCAAUGAUGCAUAGCCGACCUGAGAGGGUGAUCGGCCACACUGGAACUGAGACACGGUCCAGACUCCUACGGGAGGCAGCAGUAGGGAAUCUUCCGCAAUGGGCGAAAGCCUGACGGAGCAACGCCGCGUGAGUGAUGAAGGUCUUCGGAUCGUAAAACUCUGUCAUUAGGGAAGAACAUAUGUGUAAGUAACUGUGCACAUCCUGACGGUACCUAAUCAGAAAGCCACGGCUAACUACGUGCCAGCAGCCGCGGUAAUACGUAGGUGGCAAGCGUUAUCCGGAAUUAUUGGGCGUAAAGCGCGCGUAGGCGGUUUUUUAAGUCUGAUGUGAAAGCCCACGGCUCAACCGUGGAGGGUCAUUGGAAACUGGAAAACUUGAGUGCAGAAGAGGAAAGUGGAAUUCCAUGUGUAGCGGUGAAAUGCGCAGAGAUAUGGAGGAACACCAGUGGCGAAGGCGACUU
rnacentral:rRNA from 1 species